rnacentral:tRNA from 2 species
GGGCCGUUAACUCAGUUGGCAGAGUAUCUGCCUUUUAAGCAGAGAGUCGCUGGUUCGAAUCCAGCACGGCCUACCA